rnacentral:rRNA from 1 species
CGGAACGCUGGCGGCGUGCCUAAUGCAUGCAAGUCGACGCACUGUCUUCGGACAGUGAGGGUGGCGCACGGCUGUAGGAACACGUGGGUACCUGCCCUCUCGUGGGGGAUAACGCGGCGAAAGCCGCGCUAAGCCCGCAUACGCUCACCGCGAGGUGAGGAAAACGGGCAACGUGCGGGAGGAGGGACCUGCGGCCCAUCAGGUAGUCGGCGAGGGUAACGGCCCACCGAGCCGAUGACGGGUAGCUGGUCUGUGAGGACAGACAGCCAGACCUGGGACUGAGACACGGCCCAGACUCCUACGGGAGGCUAGCAUGCAAGGAAUUUUCCCCCAAUGGGUCGCAAGCCUGAGGGAGCAACGCGCGUGGAGGACGACGGCCUUCGGGUUGGUAAACUCCUUUGGGGGGGACGAUGAUGACGGUACCCCCGAAUCAGCCCCGGCUAACUCUGUGCUAGCAGCCGCGGUAAAGACAGAGGGGGGCAAAGCGUUGUCCGGACUGACUGGGCGUAAAGCGCGCGCAGGCGGGUCAGAGGCGUCGGUGCUCAAAGUCCACCGCUUAACGGUGGGAGGCGUGCCGAUACGCUCUGACUGAGGGGCGGGGCGAGGGGUGGUGGAAUUGCCGGUGUAGUGGUGAAAUGCGUAGAGAUCGGCAGGAACACCAGUGGCGAAGGCGGCCACCUAGCCCGACACCUGACGCUGAGGAGGCCGCGACAGCGUGGGGAGCGAACUGGAUUAGAUACCCAGGUAGUCCACGCCGUAAACGAUGCCGACUCGGUCUUCGUGGGGCGAAUAGCCCUGGGGGGGCCCGAGCUCACGCGCUAAGUCGGCCGCCUGGGGACUACGAGCGCAGCUUAAAACUCAAAGGAAUUGACGGGGGCCCGCACAAUGCAGCGGAGCGGUGUGGUUUAAUUCGACCGCAACGCGCAGAACCUUACCUUACAGACUUGACAUGCUACUGCAAGCCGCUGAAAGGCGGUCGCCUUCGAGGGUGUAGCACAGAUGCUGCAUGGCUGUACGUCAGCUCGUGUCGUGAGAUGUUGGGUUAAGUACCCGCAACGAGCGCAACCCCCCGCGGCCAGUUAUAUGUGUCUGGCCGGACCGCCCUUCGGGGAGGAAGGCGGGGAUGACGUCAAGUCCGCAUGGCUCUUACGUCUGGGCGACACACAGCGCUAGCAAUGGCGCCGACAGCGCGCAGCGACCGCGCAAGCGGAAGCGAAUCGCCAAACGGUGCCUCAGUGCAGAUCGGGGGGCUGCAACUCGCCCCCGUGAAGCGGAGUUGCUAGUAACCGCGUAUCAGCCACGGCGCGGUGAAUACGUACCCGGCCUGUACACACCGCCCGUCACGUCAUGGGUAGUUGCCAAGGGCCUGAAGUCGUGGGCCAACCGCCUUUCGAAGUGGGGGCAGCGGCCGAGGGCCGGGAGAGCGACUGGGACG